ACCGACCCAUUGCCCAAUCAGAAGAAGCAUGGGAAACCGUCUUCAGUCUUUUCUGUCACUCCUUUCAUAAUGACGAUUUCAUUUCCAAGGUAAGCCAAAAGAAAUCAGUCCGUUUUAUUUUCUUGUUCAAAGCCUUUCAUUCUUCAUUUUUCUUCUCUGGAGACUUCUUCUUCACUUCCCCCAUCCAGCCGAGCUUGAUCCAUUUGCAUAAUCUGGAACUCCCCUAUCCAGGUAAAACUCUUCUCCUCUUCUCAAUGAUUCUGUUGCUAUGAUAUGAGCAAGACCAUUUGCGGAUCUAGGUAUAUACUGAAAUCUGAUGUUUUCAAGUCCAUAGAUUUCCUGUUGAAUGUCAAAAAUGUAUACUUCCACCAUAGAUCUAUCUUGACUCUUCGAUUUACAUUUUUUGACUAUUGUGAGGGAGUCUCCUUCAAGGAUCAAAUGUCGCCAUCCCCUCCUGAUUCCCAUUUGAACGCCUUUCCGGCAGGCAAUUGCUUCAGCAGCAAAGGCUGAUGGAAUACCAAAAUGAAUCUCUGAAUAUGAAAAAAGAAUAGUACCAUUCGAAUCUCUGGCCACAAUACCCACACCCGACUGAUUCUUUACUUUAUCGUAAGCACCAUCAAAGUUGAUCUUCAUGAAACUUUCCUGUGGUGGCGACCAUCUCUUUUUCUCUAAGGUACGGUUCAGAUCUCUCUUCUCAAGACUAUCAAUUUCUUUGAUGUAACUGAUUAUAAGAUUUGCAACUUCCGUCCCCUUUCUAAUUUUACCUUCAUGUAUUCUUUUGUUUCUGUCACCCCAUAUUGCCCAGAGUGCACAACAAAAUACGCGACUUUGAUCAAGGUUGAGCUGCUCUAUUGCCCAGGUAAUCCACUGUACAAAAUCUUCACAAUGAUUCCUUAAAAUGCACUGAAACGAUAAUGAUCUCCAUACCUCCCUUGUAAUAUGACAGUAACGAAAUAAGUGGUUCAUUGGUUCAGCUUCUUCUCCACAUCGGGGACAGCUCGGAUUUACUACUAACUUCCGAUGUUGAAGAUUCACCUUUGUAGGCAGAUAAUUCCAAGAUAGCUUCCAUAUUGUAACCUUAAUUUUAGCUGGUAGAUUCAGGCACCAUAGUUUUUUAUAAAAAUUCCCAUAGAUGGUCUGUAAAGCAUAAGCUCUAGGAUUGUCAGUCAAUUUUUGUAAUAGUUGAUAGGCACUUCUGACCGUAAACUCACCCGACCGUUCGCCUCCCCAGAUAAGAAAAUCAUCAUGCGGUGUUUGUGCCAGAGGGAUUCUGAGGAUUCUAGCUGCGUCGUCUUCCAGGAAGGUACUAGUAAUCAACUCUUUUUUCCAACUUCUGGUAUUAUUAUCAAUCAACUCGCCAACUUUAACAUCACGCAAAAAAUUAAUAUCUGAUGAUAAUCUAAAAUUAACAGAAUCUGGAAUCCAAGCAUCGCUUAUGCAAAUAUUAGUACCCGUCCCCACCCUUCAACAAUGCCCUUUUUCCAAUAAGUCCUUUGCUGCCCAAAUACUUUUCCAUACAUACGAACUAGAAUUUCCUAACCUGAAAUUUAAGAAAUUAUCAUCCGAAAAAUACUUAGCUUUAAACACUUUCGUUACAAGCGCAUUCUGAUUAUUCAUAAUCCUCCACCCUUGCUUAGCCAAUAGAGCUACAUUGAACUGUGCCAUAUUUCGGAAGCCCAUACCACCCUCUUCUUUAGGCCUACACAUAAAUUCCCAUUGACACCAUUGAAUUCCUUUCUUUCCUUUCCCUUUCUGCCACCAAAAUCUAGCAACUAAAUUGUCAAACUCAUCACAAAGCGAUUUUGGUAAUAGAAAACAUGUCAUAGCAUAAGUAGGAAUUGCCUGAAGAACUGAUUUAAUAAAAACCUCUCUACCCCCUUGAGAGAAGAAGCGAGUACUCCAAUUAUCAAUUCUUUGCUUUAUUCUGUCUUUGAGAUUCUGAAACGAUUCUUUUUUCUUCCGGCCUACAAUAUUUGGCAAUCCAAGAUAUUUUUCCAUAUUGUUCGAAAAUCUUAUUCCCAUAUCAGCUGAUAACCUGCCUUUAUCCCCCUCCUUCAAAUUCGAACUAAAAAAGAUCAUUGAUUUAUUAAAGUUAACGCAUUGACCAGAGCAACUCUCAUAUUCUUUCAAAAUAGCUUUGAAGUUCCUUGCACUACUUUCUGUGGCUUCACCAAACAAAAUACAAUCGUCUGCGAAUAACAAGUGCGAUAUUAUCGGGCCUCUUCUGCUGGCUCUCACCCUUUUAAUCAAUCCCUCUUUUGUAGCAUUCCUGAUUAACGACGAUAAACCUUCAUUGCAAAUAAGAAAUAGAAAAGGGCUAAGUGGGUCACCCUGUCUGAGUCCUCUGGUUGGUUCAAAGACUCUACCAUUCCUCCCGUUCGUAGUAACAACAUAAGAGACUGUAGAAAUACAUCUCAUUAUAAGUACCACCCAUUCCUUCGCAAAACCCAUCCGUAUCAUAACUUCCUUCAAGAAAGCCCAUUCCACCCUAUCGUAAGCUUUACUCAUGUCAAGCUUAAUUGCCAUAAAACCUUUCUUCCCCUUACGUUUUUUCCGAAGAGUAUGCAGAAUUUCAUAAGCUAUCAAAAUAUUGUCUGAAAUUAGCCUCCCUGGGACAAAUGCACUUUGAGCACUAUCAAUGCAUCUCCCGAUGACUUCUUGAAAACGAUUGGCAAUAGCUUUAGCAAUAAUUUUAUAAAGAACUGUGCAUAAACUAAUUGGUCUAAAAUCUGCAAGGUUUGUAGGAUUGGAUUUCUUCGGAAUAAGGGUAAUCUUAGUUACAUUUAACUCUUCCACGUCUUUUCCAUUAUUUAAAACUUCUAAACAAAAAUUCCCAAUAUCUUCGCCCACUAUAUCCCAGUAUUUUUGAAAGAAUAGAGCCGGGAAGCCAUCAUAACCUGGAGCUUUUGUUGAACCCAUUCCCUUCACUGCAAUAUAAAUCUCCUCUAACGUAAAUUUUUUCAAUAGGGUUGCAUUGAUAUCCGAAGAGAUGCAAUUCUGAAUACCUGUUAGAAGAUGAGAAGGAUCUCUAACGCCUGUAGUCGAGAAAAGCUUUUGAAAAUACUGCGUCGCCAACUCAUUAAUUUUAAACUCCUCAGUAAUUCCUCUCCCAUCAUCAUUAUCAAGCCUGCUAAUUGUAUUAAUUUUUCUCCGCAUUGAUGCAUAUUUAUGAAAAAAUUCUGUAUUUUUAUCCCCCAACUUUAGCCAAUUAGCUCGUGCUCUCUGUUCCCAAUACAUCUCCUCCUUCUCGAUUUCCAUGCUCAAAUGAAUUCUUUUAUUAAUUAUCUGGUUCAUAACAUCUUCAUCAGGUUCCUUCUUCAUUAAAUCUUCAACCUCUUUUGUAGUUCUUUCUGUCAUUCCCUUCCGUUGCCUUCUAAUAGAUUUAGCCCAUUUCGAUAAGCUAAUCUGCAAGUUCUCAAGAUUUUCCAAAACCGAUCCAUUUUGUGACUUCCAGGCUUCCCGAAUUUCUUUCUCUAUUGACUCCUCUGUAGUCCACCAGGCUUCAAAUUUAUAACUUGGAACUGUCUUGAAACUGUUUAAAUUAAUUGUGCUUAUUAACAAAGGACAAUGAUCCGAAAGGGUAGACAUCAGAUGAUUAAUAUUGCCCGUUGGAAAUAACUCCAUCCAUUUUUCGUUUGCAACACCUCUAUCCAAUCUUUCCCAUAAUUCGUCUCUGGUAAAUUCCCUCUCUCCCAUGUAUACCAUACUCCUGAAUAUCCCAAGUCUAAAAAGUGACAUUCUUGUAGAGUUUCCCGAAACGCUGCCAUCUUUCUUUCAUCCAUCGGUUGACCUCUUUUUUUUCAAAAGAAUAAGCUAUUUCAUUGAAAUCUCCACUCACUAACCAAGGAUACUCUUGCUCCUGUCCCAAGAUCUUUAAUAAAUCCCAUGAAGCAUUUUUAUCUUGUGAGUAGGGAGAGCCAUAGAACCCUGUGAAUCUCCAAUCGCCAUGAGCACCUUCUCCUUUAACCAGCACAUCAAUAUGACUUAUUGACAAAGAUCUAAGGUGAAUCUGAACCUCCUCUCGCCAUGCUAAACAAAUACCACCCUGCGUACCAGUAGCUCCUACUUCAAGUCCAUUCAUGAAACCACACAUUCUUCUAAUUGCUUCCAUACGUUUUCCACUUACUUUAGUCUCCAUUAAGAAGACAAAUUGAGGAUUAUUUUGCUUCAGUAAAAAUCGAAGCUUCCUUACUGCCCGUGGACUCCCCAAUCCACGGACAUUCCAACAUAUGAUUUUCAUUGUGCCCGGUCGGCUUGCCCAUUGGCAGCCGCCGAUCCUGUCUGGUUGGAAAAUUCUAUUUGUAAAUUAAUUUCAUCCUUCGAAGUUAGAUCCUGUUCAGCACGUUUUGUCCUUUUUAGAUUCUCUUCUCGAAUCUCCUUUACCCCAUCUUCAUCUUGCACUAAUUCUGCCAAUUUCCUUUUUUGCAAUUUACGAUCAGCCUCAUGGUUCUCCUUCCCUCCCACUAUUUUCCUUCUUUUCCAACUAACUUUCCUGGCUAAAACUAGAUUACUGACAGUACUAUCUACAUUACCUCCUUCAUUGAUACCUGCUUCCUUGUGUAAUUCAAGAUCUGCAACAGCUGAUGCCAAACAAGAACUAUCCUGGAUCCCUCCCACUAAACCACUACUUUGCUCCAUGUACUGAUAUUCUUCCUGGUUCUUUGUAAUGCCUCCAACAUAAGAGCAUUGUGGUUGUGAUUUUUUCAAUAAAGCAUUAAACUUUAAACUCUCCCUUCCCACUAACUUUGAUUCUGCUUUUAAUGCUAAAGAAAAAGGUAGAUCCACUUUAAUUCUGUUUUUCUCUACAGGAGUAAAUUCCGAGCAAUCGUGGAUGCCAUGCCCUAACUUGCCACAUCCAAAACAGUAAGUCGGCAACUUUUCAUACUUAAAUGGGAUCCAAGAUUUAUUCCCAUUCCCUAUUGUGACAAAAAUACCCCUUCGAAGAGGUUUCUGAACAUUUAACAGCACUCUAAGCCGACAAAAUUCACCAAGAAUUUCAGAUCUGAUUACCUCUCCAAAAGUGACUCCUAUAGCAUGCAAAAGGUCUUUUUUAUCAAACUCUGGUAGACACGGCCCAAUUUUAAUCCAAAACGGUGAUGAGACAAGCCGAAUUUGAUCUCUUAACAUUGAUUUAUUCAACCGAUCGAACAGGAUUAAUUGCUUCCUAAACAACCAUGGUUGGCCUUCCAAAACAGUCUCUAAAUCCUCUUCCAAUUCAAACUCAAUCAAAAAGAGAUUUUGUCCAGCAACUUGAAUCACAAAUUUCUUCCUUGUCUUCCAAAUACUCCUCAUCUGUGCUUUGAAACUAUCUUGAUUGUAAGGUUUCUUUGUCCAUACAGAACAUAUCAAAGAGAAAUUGCCACUUGGUUCCACCAUCGAACUUUUAACCGAAAGUUGAAUAAGCUCUUCUGUUAAUAAGGCGAUCUCAUCUCCCCCAAACCCAUCGUUACCACCGCUCUCCAUUAUCCCAAGCCGCAGCAGCCACUGUUUUCGCUAAGAUACCAAGGAUAGCACUCUUGGUUUCUAGGGUUUUAUAGUAAUAUAAUAUUAAAACUAAUAAUUUUUUAGUAACAUAAUUGAAAAUUUCAUAAAUUAAUCUUAAAAAUUAGUAAUUUUUUUAAAUGUAAGAGAAAUAUAAUUUUCUAAACAUUAUUAAAAUUUUAUUUAUAUAAUUUUAAAAAUACACAUUAAAAAUUAUUAAAAAGAACACAUUAAAAAACUAUUUAAAAUUUUUAAAAAAUAAUUUAAUCUUUUAAGCAGCAUACAUGAAUUUAAAUUUCAAAAUAUGUACAUGAUAUACUUUAAACAUAGAUGAAUAAAAGUAAACUUUAAAAAGUUUCUAAAAAGUUAAAAUAAUUUUUUGAAAAACAUUAUUACAAAUACAUUUCAUAAAUAAAAUUUUAAUAGAUUUCAUGAAUACUUUUUUUUUUAUAUUUGUUUAAUUUAAGAAUUUGUAUAUAUCGUACUUUAAUUUUAUCAAAUAAACAUUGA
rnacentral:lncRNA from 1 species